rnacentral:rRNA from 1 species
CCGCGUGAGUGAUGAAGGCCUUCGGUUGUAAGCUCUUUGGCGGGGACGAUGAUGACGGUACCCGCAGAAUAAGCCCGGCUAACUUCGUGC